rnacentral:rRNA from 1 species
AGUGAACGCUGGCGGUAGGCCUAACACAUGCAAGUCGAACGGCAGCACAGUAAGAGCUUGCUCUUACGGGUGGCGAGUGGCAGACGGGUGAGGAAUACAUCGGAAUCUACUUUUUCGUGGGGGAUAACGUAGGAAACUUACGCUAAUACCGCAUACGACCUACGGGUGAAAGCAGGGGAUCUUCGGACCUUGCGCGAUUGAAUGAGCCGAUGUCGGAUUAGCUAGUUGGCGGGGUAAAGGCCCACCAAGGCGACGAUCCGUAGCUGGUCUGAGAGGAUGAUCAGCCACACUGGAACUGAGACACGGUCCAGACUCCUACGGGAGGCAGCAGUGGGGAAUAUUGGACAAUGGGCGCAAGCCUGAUCCAGCCAUACCGCGUGGGUGAAGAAGGCCUUCGGGUUGUAAAGCCCUUUUGUUGGGAAAGAAAAGCAGCAGGUUAAUACCCCGCUGUUCUGACGGUACCCAAAGAAUAAGCACCGGCUAACUUCG